rnacentral:lncRNA from 1 species
GUCUUCAUUUCUUUGUUUAUGUGCUGUUACAUGCGUAGUUUAGCCCGUUUUUUGCGUUCUAAAUGAUCAAUCUUGUUUCAGUACAAUACGUAGUGCCACUUUUCUCCUUACAGAUUAUUGUUUGCUGGAGUUGUGGGUUCUACACCCAAUUUCAAAUACUAUAGUUUUUGUCUUUUGUAGUGUGAUGUAUAGAAACAUGUAACUUCUUUUUGGGUCUAUCUUUUCUGUGUACCACUUUCU